rnacentral:lncRNA from 1 species
AAGGUUCCCGGUGCGUUUGGAAGGCAGAGGCUCCUGGGCUUGCAGGUUUGGGAAAAUUAUCCAGAACUUGGAAAGGGGUAAAAACAUCACUGCCUGCUCUUUGGAUCCUGGACCCUCGGCACGGUGGGCCCCAGAGCUGAUCAUUCUCUGGGGUGGGGCCGUCCUGGGCACUGCUGGGUGCUGAGCAGUGUCCCUGGCCUCCUCCCACUCCACACCAGGAGCUCCCCUAGUCGUGACAACCACAGAAGCCCCAGACGUUGCCCCAUGUCCCCGAGGGGCCGAAUCACCCAGAGGAUCAGUUCUAUUCCAGAGCCUCGACCAGCCCGGCCACCCAGGGGGUCACUUUGUGGACGCUUCCCUCCACUCUUGCCAGUGUCCCGGCUCUGGAGUUGGACGCUGCUUGGGAUUGACAAAUGCGGAUGAGUUUUGUCCCUGAGCGGCAGGUGCCUCCUUCCUCCUGCUGCGUAUAAAACUCAGUCCAGUCCUGCCGUUCCUCAGUACGCACUCGGAUGCACCUUUGACCUACGGUG